AGCUCUGUCUUAGAUGGUGCAGAGCACUUCCAUUUGACCUAAACAAAAUUGACUCAGUUUAGCAAAUCAAUCUCACUAAAGAGCGUUGUGGGACUUAAUAACACGCACAAAGUAUGAUAAAAUGUUUGGCCACUUUCAGGGAUCUGUGCCAGAAAAUGAGGUUGUCUCAUUGCACGUUUGUUUGGCGGAUUGAACAGCUGCAUCUCUUUGAAAGCUUUGACCUUGGGUUGAAAACAUCACCUACUUCCCCACACACUCUCAAGAAACAAGGAGUGUCUAAAAGCAUUCAUGCUUAUAUGCCCAAAGAAGUGAAGAUACGCUUAGGUGCAAUCAUCUGGAGCUGAGAUAUAUGACACUAGCACAAGUGGUAACUGUUCCUGUUCUGAAGAUUUGUGUCUGCAUAUUUCCUGUUGUACUGCUCAGCCAUGGAUCUCACAUCUUCCUCAUGCUGCAGAAGUGCAAACAGAGGAAUGCAUCCCAAGAAAAACAGCAGAGACAAAUUUGAUUAUCUGCUACACACUAUUAACAACUCUCAUCUCUCCCUGCUUGAGAUCUUCUCUAGUUUAAUUAAUUGCCUGAUCUGAGACAAAGCUUUUGGAUAAACACACACUUAUGAAUAUUGCAGAUAAAUCAGGCAGGGAAUUCUAAAUGGCAUUUAU